rnacentral:lncRNA from 1 species
CUAGAUUUCAAUCCAAAUCCAAUAUGGCUGCCACAUUACCAUUAAAUGGUGGUUUAAUCACCUGUAUCUGUACAUGUUUUAAAUGAGAGCCAUUUUUCAGAUUUGUGUACUGAACUUAUGACCUGUACUCAAUACUAUUUUUGUGUAUGUCAACUACUGUAUGUUAAGAAUCCAAUAUGCCCACCAUAUACACUCAAACACCUUUAUCUGGAUAUAUAAAAAGGCAGCAGACAGCUUGGCAUGGCAACACCAAGUAUUCUUAGUCACAAGCCUCUUUGAGGAUCAAUAAGACAACUAGGAGGCUCCAAUGAAAGACAAUCAUAUCCACUAUCCUGACUGUCUGGCCUGGAGUUGCUGUAUAUGUUGACUUGGUGACAGUUAUGGUGUAUGGGGAGGAUGCAACCACACAUGACAAGCCAAAAGACAGGUGUUCACUACAAUGAACCAACACAACCUGAAACUCAUUUGAUAAGAAAUACCAUCAACUUAUUGGGCCUUCAUGUCAUAGGACUUGCACCUCCCCAAUGUCAAUAUCAUCCUGAAUCUCCCAGAACUGUCCAUGAUAGGCCCACUCCACCAUCAGUCCUCCCCUUAGGCAGUUAAUAGAGACAGAGACACCAUGGAACUGGACUGCCACAUGUCAGUACGCCAUUCCACAGCCAAAAUGCUGUCUGGAAAUUUCUGCCGUGUGUACCUAUGUGUUCUCAUAUGUACCUAUUUUGCUACCAACCCUGGCUGGCCAGCCCAUGUGACACUUGAACUGGACUCACAUGUGAAGAAUGAGCUUUCAUGCUGGGGUGACUCAUGCAUUGGUUUGGGAAACUACAGUAAUCCCAACAUCCCUGUACGGACAUGCCAUUUAUGGCAAACAAGAGGCACUGUAGGAUGGUAAAACUAGCUGUAUGGGAUCAUUUAUGGUGGCUGGGUAUUGACUGUGAGAUAGUGGUCUUUGUGGACCAUGCUUCAUCAGCUCCACCUCCUCUGCAACCCUUUUACUGUUUGUCAAAGCCCAGGGAUCAUCUUCAAAUGUAUAUGUGUGUGGAGCUGUGCUUCGUCCCUCACAACCAACGCUUCUUAGUCAUAGUCUAUGACCUACACUCCAAGUAACCUCUAAUUAACCUGAGGUCGCCCUCACCGGUCCAGUUACUCUCCUCAUCUCCUGCUGGGCAUGCUCCAGUCUGCAAUCAAUGCCAACCACUCACAGUUAAUAUCAGCCAAAUUAUAAUCCUAUCUGACUUCCAAAGGAAUAUAAAGAAAUAUGUAGGAUGUGACCUGCAAGACUUUUUGCGACAUUCAACAUAAAAAACUCCACCCACAAUUAGGCAUUGGAAAGUUUGCCAAGUCUGUUUGUGACAGCCCUUUCACAGACUUUCCUUCAGAACCAGACAACCACCCAUUCUACUACUGGAGUAUCCCCAGCAUCAUCAUUCAGGCUAUGAUAACAUUCCUGUAGUUCUGGGGCCAUUGGGUCUCUUUGGUAUACAAGCUGCAUCUGCUAACUGCCUAUAGCGAACUGUAGAAAUGGAAACUGAUCACACCACAGCCAGUCAUACAGAAAGGAUACUACCCUUGUCGCUGCAGAUUCCACAGAAUGACCAGUUAGCUGUGCAAGCUGAUCAGACCCAGAACUACAACCCCCACUGGCUGCUGGUCAUGGCCCCAGAACUACAACCACCACUGGCUGCUGGUCAUGGCCCCAGAACUACAACCACCACUGGCUGCUGGUCAUGGCCCCAGAACUACAACCACCACUGGCUGCUGGUCAGGCCCCAGAACUACAACCACCACUGGCUGCUGGUCAUGGCCCCAGAACUACAACCACCACUGGCUGCUGGUCAUGGCCCCAGAACUACAACCACCACUGGCUGCUGGUCAUGGCCCCAGAACUACAACCACCACUGGCUGCUGGUCAUGGCCCCAGAACUACAACCACCACUGGCUGCUGGUCAUGGCCCCAGAACUACAACCACCACUGGCUGCUGGUCAGGCCCCAGAACUACAACCACCACUGGCUGCUGGUCAUUGCCCCAGAACUACAACCACCACUGGCUGCUGUUCAUGGCCCCAGAACUACAACCACCACUGGCUACUUUGUCUCCACACCCGUUAAGGACACACUCAUGUCCUGGUCACCUCAAAGACUUUGAAUCAACCUUGCAUACUUAGUUGAGGUGGGGAAAAGAGGGCUAUACAUAUAAACUAUUAGGGUAGCUAACUGUUGUACUAUGGUUGCUUUCCUGUAACUUGGUUAUGCUAAUGUGUGCUUGUGUCGUGAAUUAUAUUUUGUGGAAUUUCCCAUUGUUGAUAUGCUGUAAGUGUGUGAAUGAGAUUAAAACAUGAACACACAUUGAAAAACUAGUUGGCUUCAGCUAUUCAAACACAACAGAGUCAUGUCAGUGCCACUCAUAGUCCUAGAUAAGAUAUACCAAG